GCCUUCGUAGCUCAGUUGGUCAGAGCGCGGUCCUGGUACGACCGAGGUCGCCGGUUCGAAUCCGGCCGAUGGCU
rnacentral:tRNA from 1 species